GGAUUUGUGGUUCAGUGGUAGAAUCCUCACCUUCCGUGUGGGAGACCCGGGUUUGAUUCCCGGCUGAUGCA
rnacentral:tRNA from 1 species